rnacentral:misc_RNA from 1 species
UGUUUAUUUAUUUAUUUUUUGAUAAGCGAGUGGGAGAAAAUUGAUUAGGCAUGUUAACAAAACAGCUAUAGGGGAUGGCAAUAUGGAGAAUUUGGGAUAGGGAGCCAAUGGAAGUGUCAACAACAUGUUGCCUAGAUCUCUUUUUGAUGCAGUAUUUUGCUUGAAGCAUAAAGGCAACAAUCUAAGGUUGUAGCUGUUGGAGCAAUGAGAUUUUAUCAGCAUUACAUUGUUCCUUUUUUUUUUCUCAGUUGAAGAGACUUGGAAGAGGUACCAUUGUGCCUGGGUUAGGGGUGAGCA